rnacentral:tRNA from 26 species
GGAUGGAUGUCUGAGCGGUUGAAAGAGUCGGUCUUGAAAACCGAAGUAUUGAUAGGAAUACCGGGGGUUCGAAUCCCUCUCCAUCCGC